rnacentral:rRNA from 1 species
AGUGAACGCUGGCGGUAGGCCUAACACAUGCAAGUCGAACGGCAGCACAGUAAGAGCUUGCUCUUACGGGUGGCGAGUGGCGGACGGGUGAGGAAUACAUCGGAAUCUACUUUUUCGUGGGUGAUAACGUAGGGAAACUUACGCUAAUACCGCAUACGACCUACGGGUGAAAGCAGGGGAUCUUCGGACCUUGCGCGAUUGAAGGAGCCGAUGUCGGAUUAGCUAGUUGGCGGGGUAAAGGCCCACCAAGGCGACGAUCCGUAGCUGGUCUGAGAGGAUGAUCAGCCACACUGGAACUGAGACACGGUCCAGACUCCUACGGGAGGCAGCAGUGGGGAAUAUUGGACAAUGGGCGAAAGCCUGAUCCAGCCAUACCGCGUGGGUGAAGAAGGCCUUCGGGUUGUAAAGCCCUUUUGUUGGGAAAGAAAAGCAGCAGGUUAAUACCCCGCUGUUCUGACGGUACCCAAAGAAUAAGCACCGGCUAACUUCGUG